UACGUAGGGUGCGAGCGUUAAUCGGAAUUACUGGGCGUAAAGCGUGCGCAGGCGGCGCGUUAAGACAGGUGUGAAAGCCCCGAGCUUAACUUGGGAAUUGCGCUUGUGACUGGCGUGCUGGAGUGUGGCAGAGGGAGGUGGAAUUCCACGUGUAGCAGUGAAAUGCGUAGAGAUGUGGAGGAACCCCGAUGGCGAAGGCAGCCUCCUGGGCCAGCACUGACGCUCAUGCACGAAAGCGUGGGGAGCAAACAGG
rnacentral:rRNA from 1 species